rnacentral:rRNA from 1 species
UAAGAUAGAGAUAUCGGAGCCAGAGUGAAAGCGAGCUUGAAUAGAGCGUAGGUCACUAAUUAUAGACCCGAACCCGCUUGAUCUAACCAUGGCCAGGAUGAAGCUUAGGUGAUACUAAGUGGAGGUCCGAACCGACUAAUGUUGCAAAAUUAGCGGAUGAGUUGUGGUUAGGGGUGAAAUGCCAAUCGAAAGCGGAGCUAGCUGGUUCUCCCCGAAAUGCAUUUAGGUGCAGCGGUUAAUGUUUUAGCGUUGGGGUAAAGCACUGUUUCGGUGCGGGCCGGUAACUCGGUACCAAAUCGAGGCAAACUCUGAAUACAGCGUGUAUAGUUAACCAGUAAGACUACGAGGGAUAAGCUUCAUAGUCAAGAGGGAAACAGCCCAGACCACCAGCUAAGGCCCCUAAAUAAUUACUAAGUGGUAAAGGUGGUGAAAAGGCUUAGACAACCAGGAGGUUUGCUUAGAAGCAGCAAUCCUUUAAAAAGUGCGUAAUAGCUUACUGGUCUAGCAGUUUUGCGCCGAAAAUUAACGGGUCUAAGUAAUUUGCCGAAGCUGUGGGAAAUAUUAUUUAUAUUUCGGUAGGGGAGCGUUCCAUUGUAGAAAGAAGUAUUAGCGAAAGCGGAUAUGGACGAAAUGGAAGUGAGAAUGUCGGAUUGAGUAGCGAAAACAUUGGUGAGAAUCCAAUGCUCCGAAACCCUAAGGUUUCCUCCGGAAGGUUCGUCCGCGGAGGGUUAGUCAGGUCCUAAGGUGAGGCUGAGAAGCGUAAUCGAUGGAUAAUAGGUUAAUAUUCCUAUACUGAUCUUUGUUGGUAUCGAGGGACGAAGAAGGCUAUAUUAGCCGGAUAUUGGUUACCGGUUUAAAUAUUCAAGGUGAUGAGAAGCAGUGAAAAUGCUUUGAGCUAAGGUAUGAGUACAAGGUUUUUAGAAACUAAAGUAAUUGAUGUCAUGCUUCCAAGAAAAGCUCGCAAUACCAUAAACAAAGAUCACCUGUACCUUAAACCGACACAGGUAGGGAGGUAGAGAAUACCAAGGAGCGCGAGAGAACCCUCCUUAAGGAACUCGGCAAAAUAGCUCUGUAACUUCGGAAGAAAGAGUGCCCAUUGGGCUGCAAUAUCAAGUUCCAAGCAACUGUUUAGCAAAAACACAGGUCUCCGCUAAGUUGCAAAACGACGUAUGGGGGCUGACGCCUGCCCAGUGCCGUAAGGUUAAAGAAGUUGGUUAGCUAUCAAGCGAAGCUGAUAACUGAAGCCCCGGUGAACGGCGGCCGUAACUAUAACGGUCCUAAGGUAGCGAAAUUCCUUGUCGGGUAAG